UACGGAGGGUGCAAGCGUUAUCCGGAUUCACUGGGUUUAAAGGGUGCGUAGGUGGUUGCGCAAGUCUGAUGUGAAAUCUCCGGGCUCAACCCGGAAAUGGCAUUGGAAACUGCGUGGCUAGAGGGUUGGAGGGGGGACUGGAAUACUUGGUGUAGCAGUGAAAUGCGUAGAUAUCCGGAGGAACACCGGUGGCGAAGGCGGCUUCCUGGACCGACACUGACGUGAGGCGCGAAAGCUAGGGGGAGCAAACGGG
rnacentral:rRNA from 1 species